CGGCUGCACAACAUGGUGGCUGGCCGCGAGGCGGCGUGGGGCGUGCUGUGCCGCGUGCCGGUGGGGCCGCGGAAGUUUCCAGAGCCUCGUGUAAGAUAAGGCAGCGGCGGGCUGGGUUUGGUAAAGCUAGCAGAGGUAAUGAUGGAGGAUGUCACAGCACCCCAUAUGCAGGCUGCAGGGAUUCAUCGCUCUGUGCAAAACAGCAAAGGAGUCCUACAAAAACAGCCUGUAGGAAAAAAUAGCUCAAAAAUGAAAAAAAAGCCAGGUAAGAGGUGGAGGGGGAGGUAGCAGAAACACUGGCGGAUGGAAAAAGGGUGUGGAAAGGGAACAGGAAGAACUGGGGGCAGUGGUAGCUGGGGGAGAGGAGAAGGAAAGUGUAAUCCUCCCUGGAGUGUUUAGUUCAAAGAGAAGCAUUGCCCUUUGUUUUUAAAAAAAGUAAGCUUUGGCACACAUGUAUGUGGGAGUGAAAAGGGAAAAUUCCUUCAGUCUUGUCUGGGAAUUUAUUUAAAGCAUCUGCAGAUUGCUAAAAGCAGAUGUCACAGCUGCUUUUAGUAUGGUUCUCUCCUGGGAAGUGGGACAGAUUGUGCUUUGUUGUGAGCCCCAAGUUCCCACAGAGAAGCUUAACAUGUUCAAACAUGCAGCUCCCUGCCUUUUACAAGACCAGAGUUCAUCUGCUGACUUCAGCAUCUACACAUUGUAAAACACUAAGAUGAUGUACAACUGGGAAACUGCAAAAGAAACGGUGUUUGUGAGAAGCGUGCCUUUCUCAAUCACAACCAGUUUCAUGGUGUGUGUCUCUCUCUAGCCAGCAACUGUCAGAAAAUGACAUUAAGAAAUUGUAAAAAGGUACAGUUUGAAAAACUGUGCUUACUUUUAAAAUAAAACUUUUUUUUUUAAGCUGCA
rnacentral:lncRNA from 1 species